rnacentral:rRNA from 1 species
CCUACGGGGGGCAGCAGUGGGGAAUAUUGGACAAUGGGGGCAACCCUGAUCCAGCCAUGCCGCGUGUGUGAAGAAGGCCCUCGGGUUGUAAAGCACUUUCAGUGAGGAAGAACGCCUGGUGGUUAAUACCCAUCAGGAAAGACAUCACUCACAGAAGAAGCACCGGCUAACUCCGUGCCAGCAGCCGCGGUAAUACGGAGGGUGCGAGCGUUAAUCGGAAUUACUGGGCGUAAAGCGCGCGUAGGUGGCUUGAUAAGCCGGUUGUGAAAGCCCCGGGCUCAACCUGGGAACGGCAGCCGGAACUGUCAAGCUAGAGUGCAGGAGAGGCAGGCAGAAUUCCCGGUGUAGCGGUGAAAUGCGUAGAGAUCGGGAGGAAUACCAGUGGCGAAGGCGGCCUUCUGGACUGACACUGACACUGAGGUGCGAAAGCGUGGGUAGCAAACAGGAUUAGAUACCCCAGUAGUC